UUGAAGCCGACUGCCUGGAGGCCGAG
rnacentral:piRNA from 1 species